rnacentral:other from 15 species
AGUAGGACUAGCAGACGGGAGGACUAGCCAUCGUGGUGAGAUCCCUGAGCAGUCUAAAUCCUGAGUACAGGAUAGUCGUCAGUAGUUCAACGCAGGCACGGUUCUGCCUUGAGAUGCUACGUGGACGAGGGCAUGCCCAAGACUUGCUUUAAUCUCGGCGGGGGUCGCCGAGGUGAAAACACCUAACGGUGUUGGGGUUACAGCCUGAUAGGGUGCUGCAGAGGCCCACGAAUAGGCUAGUAUAAAAAUCUCUGCUGUACAUGGCACAUGGAGUU